UACAACCAUAUCACGUUAAAACACCGAUUCCCGUAUGGUCACCGAAGUUAAGCAAUGUCAAGCCUGGUCAGUACCUAGAUGGGUGAUCGCUUUGGAAUGCCAGAGGCUGUAAG